AUUGUAUUCUGAUGAGGUUAACCAAAAUCAAAAUAUCAGUUCUUAUCAGAUUAAUCUCUGGUACGACUUCUAUGGGAAGUCAAGUAGAUAAAAACUGAUUUUUUGGAAAAGGAAGGUGUGCUAGGGCUUCUUCCAACUCUGACGCAGGUUGAAAACAAAAUUGACGCGUUCAUGUUCUUUUGGAGUUUUUUC